CUUUCUGAGGGCAAAACAUCUUCAAGACACUUCCUCAGAAGUGCAUCCCCAGACGCACAGUGCCGACAGGGAGCAAUCCCAGAGGUAUUUUUCAGGAACGCUAAGUGCAAGAUGCCCGUGGAGCCAGAAGCUUGGUUUCUGCUGGACCCCCUUGUGGAUCAGGUGGCCAUAGACAAUAGCUGGAGGCACUCCAGGGGCUACAGUGUACACUGCGUAGCAUGCCCAGCAGCACCCCUCCCCCAGACCUUCCAGAUACCAGAAGGAGCCUGCCUUGUGGUGAUACCCUGAAACAUCUGUUUGUAUUGUUAGUGCCUACUGGGGCAGGAGACUGCUUCUGUGGAGACAGUUUUUAUGGGGUCAGUCCAGAGAGAGGGUGGGAGCUUGAAAGAAGGGUCCCAGUCUUGGAUUUUGCCUUCACUCCUGUGUAUGAUGUUUGUCGGUGUGUACUUCUGACAUUUAUAAUACAAAGAACCCAGGCAUGACAGCUAUUCCUUAGGCAGGUGACAAGGGUGGGCAGGCAUGCAAACCUGCAGCUAGGAUGUGGUAGAGAGCACAAGAUAAGACGAGAAGGAUGUGUGGACCAACCAAUUGCUGGUCUAGAGUGUGAAGAUUGCUGCUGACUGCUCCGUUGGAAGAGGGCUGAUAGACAAUCUGAUCUGGAGGCUGGACAGCCUUGGGGACAGCAGCCCUUGGGUGAUAUGAGGUGGAGGAAGAACAUUCCAAGGAACAAUGUAAGGGGGCUGGAGGCAGAAGCACAAUGGGCCUGUGUCGAAAAGUGCCAACUGUUUCAUUCAGCCAUCCUGGGCGGGAGGUCUUAUGGAGAACAAUGCACUGCCAUUGAUCCAAAGCAAGGGGACUGUGGGCCUCAGCGGCAGGAUUCCUGCAUAAGGACCAGCAAGAACUGGAAGCAUUUGUCCUUCAGCUCACAAGUGUCGCUCCGUGUGACUUUAGGAUGGCUGUUUCAUGCUUCUCUCGGGCCUUAUCUCCAGAAUGUCCUUCUUCUGCACCAGAACAUUCAGGGAGCCUUAAAAAAAUCACAGUCCUAUCAGCUCUGACAUCAAACACUCACACGAAACUGGUUCUCUGCACUAAUGGUGGAGUGAUUUUUGCUCUGUUAACCCAUUUUUUUGUUAUUAUAAUGAAAUUCCUGAGUCUAUGUACUUUAUAAAGAAACAAGGUUUAUUUAGGUUCAAAGUAUGAAGCCCAAGGCUCAGGGGCUGCCUUGGUGACAGCCUUGCUGCAAGAGACCUCAGGUGAUGCAGAGCCAUCAAGUAGCAAGUGAAAGAGGGCACAGACCUGCCUGGUGUCUGUCUUCCUACAAAGACCUGGUAUCUAUAAGGACCCUACUAUCAAACUGUGCUGGGUUUUCCGUUUGCUUUUCCUGGUUUUAUGUUUGGUUUUACUCUUUGUUUGUGUUUGUGUUUGUUUUGUCAUCUUGACACAUGCUGGGGUCAAAAUACCUCUAACAGAUUGUACUGUAGGCAAGUCUAUGAUGCAGGUUUGUGUGUGUGUG